AGACAAGCCCCUGAGGAACCAGAUAUAGAGAACAGGGUAACUAUGUUAAUCCCAUGAUCAUGCUACACAGACAGUGAGCAUCAGAGAGGGAAGCAGCUUCAGCAGAUGUUAUUGAACAUGCUCAGUCCAUGCAUAAAAAAGGAGUAUUUCAUCGUGUAGAACCACAGUACCCUGACAUGGCGUUAUUAGGAGAGAACUUUACACCCACAUUGUCCUCUACCGCUUAAGCUAACAACCUGGUUGUGGGAGAAAGCUAACUUGAAUUGAUGUUCACCAGACAGGGAUGAGCCACUUAGCAAACAGGUUUCAAAGCUACCUAUGGAACAAUCAAGGUUUGUUAAUACUAAGGAAUAAUGAAUGGGUUUAAGCCGAGGUUCUGCAGUCAAGUGUGGUUAUGAUUUACAUUUUUUCUGCAUCUCACCCCACUCCCACUUUUAUCCCUUUGUGCUCUUUUUCUUACCCUCUCCAAAUCCUGACCCUGGCCUCUCCUCCAUCCUCCCCACAUCCUUGUACCCUCCUGCUCUAGCUCCCAUAACACAUCAUUUCACUCAACUCAUGCUGCUGCUUCUUCCUCUUCACUUCCAGAGGGUUGUGGGGGGAGAGAAGGAGGGAAGGGAAGGGAAGGAGGCAGAGGGGAGAGUGAACAAGCAACCAAGGCUGAACUAAUUUAGCUGCUAAAGGCCAACUAGUCUAGAAUAUGUGCAAUAUGGAUUUUUUUGAGAGACUCAUGGCUUGACUGAAAGAGAGAAGCAAGUGGCACCUAAAGAUACAUCCCUGUACAAGAAACUCAGAAUGGGCAAAGUUUAUUUUUCUUAAACCUCAUUCUCUUUAAUGGCUGAACUAUUUUAAUUCAAUCAUUCAAAAUCAAGUCAGCUGCAGGCAAAAACCUAGCGUGGAUUCUUUUCCUGGUCUAACACUUAAGGGUAACAAGCAAAUAAAAAUGAGUGUUAUAAAGGAAUGUACAGACAUCACUACUUGCACUACUUAUAAUGAAGAGUUUUAAAUAGAACGUUUUACAAGCUAAACUGCACGUAUGCUCUUCUGUUUUCUGUGACCCAUGCAGGACGCCACUUGAACUUGAAAUUGGCAGUGGGAACUUUUGCUAUAUUUAGGAACAAAAGUAACAUGCAAGGUUUGUUUGGGUAACACUGCAGGAGCACAGAAACAGUUUUCAAAAGCUUCCAGCCGACAGUCAAGAAAACAGAGCAGGAUAACAGCACUGAGCCAUGAUGUAAGCUCUCUACAAAGCAACAAAUUAGACUCUAGUCUUUUAACAUCAACUGCUCCAUGAUAAGCAACAGACACUCAAUCCUAUACAGGCAGUCCCCAGGUUACG